rnacentral:rRNA from 1 species
UACAGAGGUCUCAAGCGUUGUUCGGAUUCAUUGGGCGUAAAGGGUGCGUAGGCGGCGCGGUAAGUCGGAUGUGAAAUCUCGGAGCUUAACUUCGAAGCUGCAUUCGAUACUGCCGUGCUUGAGGACUGGAGAGGAGACUGGAAUUUACGGUGUAGCGGUGAAAUGCGUAGAUAUCGUAAGGAAGACCAGUGGCGAAGGCGGGUCUCUGGACAGUUCCUGACGCUGAGGCACGAAGGUCAGGGGAGCAAACGGG